rnacentral:rRNA from 1 species
CGUGAGCAACCUGCCCCAGACUUCGGGAUAAGCCUUGGAAACGAGGUCUAAUACUGGAUAUGAGGUCACAUCGCAUGGUGUGGUCUGGAAAGAUUUAUCGGUCUGGGAUGGGCUCGCGGCCUAUCAGCUUGUUGGUGGGGUAGUGGCCUACCAAGGCGACGACGGGUAGCCGGCCUGAGAGGGCGACCGGCCACACUGGGACUGAGACACGGCCCAGACUCCUACGGGAGGCAGCAGUGGGGAAUAUUGCACAAUGGGCGCAAGCCUGAUGCAGCGACGCCGCGUGAGGGAUGAAGGCCUUCGGGUUGUAAACCUCUUUCAGCAGGGAAGAAGCGCAAGUGACGGUACCUGCAGAAGAAGCGCCGGCUAACUACGUGCCAGCAGCCGCGGUAAUACGUAGGGCGCAAGCGUUGUCCGGAAUUAUUGGGCGUAAAGAGCUCGUAGGCGGUCUGUCGCGUCUGGUGUGAAAACUCAAGGCUCAACCUUGAGCUUGCAUCGGGUACGGGCAGACUAGAGUGCGGUAGGGGAGACUGGAAUUCCUGGUGUAGCGGUGGAAUGCGCAGAUAUCAGGAGGAACACCGAUGGCGAAGGCAGGUCUCUGGGCCGCAACUGACGCUGAGGAGCGAAAGCAUGGGGAGCGAACAGGAUUAGAUACCCUGGUAGUCCAUGCCGUAAACGUUGGGCACUAGGUGUGGGGCUCAUUCCACGAGUUCCGUGCCGCAGCAAACGCAUUAAGUGCCCCGCCUGGGGAGUACGGCCGCAAGGCUAAAACUCAAAGGRAUUGACGGGGGCCCGCACAAGCGGCGGAGCAUGCGGAUUAAUUCGAUGCAACGCGAAGAACCUUACCAAGGCUUGACAUACACCGGAAACUUCCAGAGAUGGUUGCCCCGCAAGGUCGGUGUACAGGUGGUGCAUGGUUGUCGUCAGCUCGUGUCGUGAGAUGUUGGGUUAAGUCCCGCAACGAGCGCAACCCUCGUCCUAUGUUGCCAGCACGUGAUGGUGGGGACUCAUAGGAGACUGCCGGGGUCAACUCGGAGGAAGGUGGGGAUGACGUCAAAUCAUCAUGCCCCUUAUGUCUUGGGCUUCACGCAUGCUACAAUGGCCGGUACAAAGGGCUGCGAUACCGUAAGGUGGAGCGAAUCCCAAAAAGCCGGUCUCAGUUCGGAUUGGGGUCUGCAACUCGACCCCAUGAAGUCGGAGUCGCUAGUAAUCGCAGAUCAGCAACGCUGCGGUGAAUACGUUCCCGGGCCUUGUACACACCGCCCGUCAAGUCACGAAAG